rnacentral:tRNA from 1 species
ACGCCCAUAGCUCAAUUAGGUAGAGCAGCGGUCUCCAAAACCGCGUGUUUCCUGUUCAAUUCGGGAUGGACGUGCCA